GCCGGCUUGGCGGAAUUGGUAGACGCGCUCGACUCAAAAUCGAGUUCGAAAGAGUGUGGGUUCGAGUCCCACAGCCGGUA
rnacentral:tRNA from 1 species